CUCUGCAUCACCAAUGAAUUCGAAUUUGAAGUCUCUCAGAGAAUGGGCAAAUUUUCUCUGGGCUGCUGAAAGGUUUUUGGUGGCGGCGAUCAGGUUUUUCCCGUCCUUAAGCAAAUCCUUGAUAAACUUAUUGGUCCUCUCCAGCUCGGCCUCGUGGGCUCGCACCCGCUCCCUGAACCAGGGGCUGUCCAGGUAGCAGUCGCUGAACUCCAGAGGCUGCAGCCCCAUGGCUGCGCUGCACCGCGCCGCGCGCCCCUCCUCACAGCGACCUCCGCUGCGAUCAGCGCGCGCCCCGCGCCCGGCUGCACGGCGGCCACAAAGAGCGCAGGGGUGGGCACGGGAGGCGGCCCGCUCCCGGCAGCCCCGCCGCCGGGCCCCGCCCGGCCGAACAGGCGGCCCGCCUCUCAGCGCCGGGCGGCAGCGCCGCGGCGGGAGUCUGGUGGGGUAGUAGUUGUGAGCUCCUCGCGUGCCUCUGAAUAGCGGCUGCUGGCAGCAGCGCUCCCGGGUCCUGCUUCAGAACGGAGGCUGUCGGCUACAGGUGACUGAGCGCGCAGCCACUUUGGGUUUUAGGAAGGAGCGGAUCGGUCUCUUAGGGCAAGGAGGCAUGAAGAAAAACAGCCUGAAAAACACAGGCUCUUAUCAGAAACCAGCUGCGGUUUCAGUAAAUGCCAACUGCGCGCUGGUCUGCUGUUAGAGCCAGCUAGUGCCACUCACCCGUAGGAUCUGACCCUAUCCUGCUCACGUACCUGCGUGUGAAAUUAGUUGGGGGAGGUAACUAUAGCCUCACCUUUAUGUCUCUGCGUAACAAACUCAUACAAAGCCUGUAGGAAGAGCGAGACCUUGAGAAGACUGUUCUGUGUACCUGAGUGCUGAGCUGAAGGCAGGCCGGGAGGUGCAGGGUGCAGAGAACGCUCAACCCCUUCAGCCAAGUGUUCCAGCUGCUACGUCACAGUGUGUGCUGUCACUGCCUUUAAAAUCAUUUAACUGAUAAGUCACUAUGCCACUGAAAACUGUGCUAAAAUGGAAAUGAAAAGGCAACCUUGAAUAACAAACGAUCCUUAUCUCUGUUUGGAUUAUUGGAGCGGUGUUUGAAGAGCAAAUAUUUCUAUGAACAGAUUGUUUACUUUGUCCUGUACUCAUCUGCAGGAAGAAAAUUAGAAUAAUAUUUUCCAUGCUUGUUUAUAGUUACUGCAAUUUUCCUACGAUUGUUCCAUUGAAAUAUUAUAAAGCAAUUGUGGAGUGGCUUGAAUUCAAAGUCAGAAAAAGACAAAAGAAUCAUCUGUAUGUUUACGUAAAGCCAAUUCACUGUUAUAUUGGUAUUCUGUACUGUUCACCCAGCAUUGUUAUCCUGACAACACACUGUGUUCUUAGCAAAUACCGAAAGAGAUUGUAUGGUGCAAAACCUAACCCACCGGUUCAAACGCUGUCUGACCCUGAAAUGACAAAAUUUGUGGGGGUAGAAAUAAUAACCUAUUAAAUUAAGCAGACAAAAAUGACGUGGUUGAGCAAGAAAAGUAGCUACACCUUCUUUGCUAAUUAAUCCUAUAAGUGGUUUUAUACCAGUAUUUUAGAAAGUCUUCCCCUUUUCUGCCAUUCUCUACUUGAUGUCAUCAAAUUUUGCAGCUUUGUUGUAGGCUCAUUUAGAAGACUAGCGUAGCUUGACUAUGUGAAGCUUUAGCAACAUCCUGUCUAUAUACCAUACAAUCUUUGGUUAUUUUCUGUUGAUGACCAUUGCAAAC
rnacentral:lncRNA from 1 species